AUAGGCAACUUUUGCUGCAAAAACUGUGAGAACGUAUUUUUUGUAAAUUGAGAAAAUUCACUUCAAAGACGCACUUAAAAAACACGAAAUUCGCUUGUAACUCACAAGAUUUUAAAGUUAACGGCGUGCUAUCUUCAGCAAAGUUGAAGACUUUCAUUAGAUCUACAACUUUCCCAUACACCAAUCUUGAGAAAUGUGCAACAAAAUAUGAAGAAAUGAUGAUACGAUUCAGAUGUAGGUCACCUUAUAUUUAUUACUAUAAAACAUUAAGUUAGUAUAUCAGCAGUCGCUUUCAUAUACUUGCUGUUGUAAACUUUGUAUGGUAUUAUGAUUUUAUUAUUAUUUUAUUAGUACUCAGUGGUAUAAUUCACGUAUAAUUCAAAAUGUAAAAUGAUGCCAAUGCAAUAUAAGAAACUUUAACUGUUUCGUCAUUGUGACUGCUAUUAUUGUGACUGAAUACAUACAAUAGUGUCCUGGGAUACAGAACUGUGGAAACGGUGGAAUAAUCUAACAUUAUUAAAGAAGCCAAGGUUAUCAAAAAGUGUGCAGGUUUGGAAAAUUAUUGAUAGAAUAAAAGUACAAUUAUAUUGCUACUACUUGAAUAAUUUUGUAU